rnacentral:rRNA from 1 species
UACAGAGGUCCCAAGCGUUGUUCGGAUUCACUGGGCGUAAAGGGUGCGUAGGUGGCCAGGUAAGUUUGGUGGGAAAGCUCGGAGCUUAACUCCGAAAAGUCAUUGAAUACUAUCUGGCUGGAGGGUCGGAGGGGAGACUGGAAUUCUCGGUGUAGCAGUGAAAUGCGUAGAUAUCGAGAGGAACACCAGUGGCGAAGGCGAGUCUCUGGACGACUCCUGACACUGAGGCACGAAAGCUAGGGGAGCAAACAGG